AGUUAAUAAAAGAAAUUAUAUGUUUUGAAAACAUUAAAAAGAGGUUAAAUUCCUCUAUUAACUU
rnacentral:tRNA from 1 species